UACGGAGGGCGCGAGCGUUAAUCGGAAUUACUGGGCGUAAAGCGCGCGUAGGCUGUUGUGUAAGUUGGGGGUGAAAUCCCACGGCUCAACCGUGGAACAGCCCUUGAUACUGCGCGACUUGAAUCCGGGAGAGGGUGGCGGAAUUCCAGGUGUAGGAGUGAAAUCCGUAGAUAUCUGGAGGAACAUCAGUGGCGAAGGCGGCCACCUGGACCGGUAUUGACGCUGAGGUUCGAAAGCGUGGGUAGCAAACAGG
rnacentral:rRNA from 1 species